AUUGAACGCUGGCGGAAUGCUUUACACAUGCGAGUCGAACGGUAGGGGGCAACCCCUCGAGAGUGGCGAACGGGUGAGUAAUAUAUCGGAACGUGCCCAGUCGUGGGGGAUAACGUAGCGAAAGUUACGCUAAUACCGCAUACGAUCUAAGGAUGAAAGCGGGGGAUCGCAAGACCUCGCGCGAUUGGAGCGGCCGAUAUCAGAUUAGGUAGUUGGUGGGGUAAAGGCUCACCAAGCCAACGAUCUGUAGCUGGUCGGAGAGGACGACCAGCCACACUGGAACUGAGACACGGGCCAGACGCCUACGGGAGGCAGCAGUGGGGUAUUUUGGACAAUGGACGCAAGUCUGAUCCAGCCAUUCCGCGUGCAGGAUGAAGGCCCUCGGUUUGUAAACUGCUUUUGUACGGAACGAAAAGGUCUCUCUUAAUACGGGGGACUCAUGACGGUACCGUAAGAAUAAGCACCGGCUAACUACGUGCCAGCCGCCGCGGUAAAAC
rnacentral:rRNA from 1 species